AUGAAGCGGGAAAAGCUCAAGUUUGAAAUCCGGGGGCCCCUUGGGCAUCCGGAGUUGUAAGCUGAAGAGGCAUCGACCGACGUGGGCCGGGCUCAAUUCCCUUGGAACAGGGGGUCAUAGAGGGUGAGAACCCCGUCUGUGGCUCGGACCCCAUCGUCCUAGCGUCGUGUCCUCGCAGAGUCGGGUUGUUUGGGAAUGCAGCUCAAAAUGGGUGGUAAAUCUCAUCUAAAGCUAAAUAUUGGCGAGAGACCGAUAGCGAACAAGUAGAGUGAUCGAAAGAUGAAAAGUACUUUGAAAAGAGAGUGAAACAGUACGUGAAAUUGUUGAAAGGGAAGCGUUUGGCAUCAGCCCAUGGCCUCCGACGAUCAUCCCGGCCUCUGGUCGGGUGCACUCGUUGGGGGUCGGGCCAGCGUCGGCUCCAUCAGUCGGAGAAAGGCCCGGAGGAUGUGGCUCCCUCACGGGAGCGUUAUAAAUCCGGGCGUCAUACGGCUCGAUGGGGCCGAGGUCCGCGGUCUAGUACCCAGGACGCUGGCGUAAUGGUUCCAAGCGACCCGUCUUGAAACACGGACCAAGGAGUCUAACAUCUAUGCGAGUGUUUGGGUGUCAAGCCCGUCCGCGCAAUGAAAGUGAACGAAGGCGGGAGCCCCCUCUGGGAGUGCACCGUCGACCGGUCCGGAGGUUCACCGAAAGGAUCUGAGUAAGAGCAUAGCUGUUGGGACC
rnacentral:rRNA from 1 species